AUCUCCUCGUCACAAAAUUACACUGUAUGUAUAUGGUAAAAUUUUAAUUUUAAUAGGACAGAGAGAUUUUGAAUCCUCUAAACACAAGACUCUGAUAGGCACAAUGCUGCAGGGGGUUCAAAAUUCACUUUGAGUUUCCAACUGAAAUCUGCAGGGGGUUCAAAAUUCACUUUGAGUUUCCAAGUUCAAAUUUCAGGCAAUACAUUAUUAGUCAUGCCCUUUAUGUUGGUGUAUAUAUGUAUUGCUAAUAGGAGAAUAUGAAUUGGGAGUUCAAAAGAUGGGGUACUUAAAUCAAAAGUGUCAUUUCUAAUGAGAGAAUCUGGCUAAAGAUUUAGGUCUUCCUUCGUGAGAGGUCCCUCAAUACAAGAUCUUGGAGUUGGUGUCUCUGGUAUAUAUUUAGGUGUCCAUAAAUUAAUAUCUUUACCAGUGUCAAUGGUCAAGAGAAUUCCUUUUUUGCAAAUUGACCAUCUUUAGAGUAUGUUUUCCAGAUCAUGGUUGUGGAGAUGGUAUGUGUAGGAGUGUUAGGGUCGAGGGUAUAUUCUUCAGGCUUGCUAUUUGUCACAAUUUUCCAAUUUACAAGUCCUUUAUUGUAGGGUUACGUUGAAGAAAAGAGUUCUCGUGCCAUUAAUCAAGAUGGAUAUGACGCUUGUGGUGAUGCAAGACAUGAUGAAUUUUAUGAGAUUUGUGCAGAAUUUGAAAUGGAUUUGAGUGUGAGAAUGAAAGAUCAUUCAUGACGGUCAAAUGCCUUUUUCUGCUCUGAAGAACAUGUUAGCAUAAUUUUUUUUCAUUUUUUGAAAAAUGUGAAAUAGUUUCUUGAAUGCUAAUGACUCAGUCCGCACGAUUCUUCUA